AUGAUGUCAAACUUGAAACCUAUUGUAGAGGUACCGUUAAGGAGAUCCGAUAGAGUAUCACAUCAAUUGGACAGAUACUAUGGUUUCUUGGUCCAGGAUGGGGAUCCUAUUGAACUCGAUGAGAAUAAUGAGGAUCCGAUCAUCUAUAUGGAUACAAUGCAGAGGUCUGACUCUGAUAAAUGGUUUGAAGUCAUAAAAUCUGAAAUGAAGUCUAUGAA
rnacentral:lncRNA from 1 species